rnacentral:rRNA from 1 species
AAUAGAUACCCCGGUAGUCCACGCCGUAAACGAUGAGUGCUAAGUGUUAGAGGGUUUCCGCCCUUUAGUGCUGCAGCUAACGCAUUAAGCACUCCGCCUGGGGAGUACGGCCGCAAGGCUGAAACUCAAAGGAAUUGACGGGGGCCCGCACAAGCGGUGGAGCAUGUGGUUUAAUUCGAAGCAACGCGAAGAACCUUACCAGGUCUUGACAUCCUCUGCCAACCCUAGAGAUAGGGCGUUCCCCUUCGGGGGACAGAGUGACAGGUGGUGCAUGGUUGUCGUCAGCUCGUGUCGUGAGAUGUUGGGUUAAGUCCCGCAACGAGCGCAACCCUUGAUCUUAGUUGCCAGCAUUUAGUUGGGCACUCUAAGGUGACUGCCGGUGACAAACCGGAGGAAGGUGGGGAUGACGUCAAAUCAUCAUGCCCCUUAUGACCUGGGCUACACACGUGCUACAAUGGAUGGUACAAAGAGCUGCGAACCCGCGAGGGUAAGCGAAUCUCAUAAAGCCAUUCCUGUACGUAGUAGUU